GCACUGUAGCAGUGCGCCACCAGGCCGGCCCAAGAGCUUGUAUUGUGGAACAGCAUCCACACCAUCUGUGCCAACACAACUAUACAAUUUCUCUGAGUAAGAAAAGGAUUGCAGUAAAAGACAAAUGUUUUCCAGACGCCCAUGAAGUAGCAGCUUUUCCUACUUAAAAGUAGAAUGGGGAAUACGCCAGUAUCCUAAAACCAUAUCAAGAAAAAUGUCAUCCUAGACCAGUUCCAGAUCUCAAACUGGCAUUUGGGAAUCACAGCAGUAGAGCAGCAAAAGAGCCACUGUCUCUAGUAGCCUACAAUUCUACAAACAGAAAUAGAUGGUUGUGUUAGAUACAGGACUGUGACUUCUAUUAUUUGAAUUAUUUUAAAAAAAACAAUCAUGUAAUGAUAAUAAAAAAAAUUUUUUAAAGAA